UACGUAGGGUGCAAGCGUUAAUCGGAAUUACUGGGCGCAAAGCGUGCGCAGGCGGUUAUGUAAGACAGUUGUGAAAUCCCCGGGCUCACCUGGGAACUGCAUCUGUGACUGCAUAGCUAGAGUACGGUAGAGGGGGAUGGAAUUCCGCGUGUAGCAGUGAAAUACGUAGAUAUGCGGAGGAACACCGAUGGCGAAGGCAAUCCCCUGGACCUGUACUGACGCUCAUGCACGAA
rnacentral:rRNA from 1 species